rnacentral:lncRNA from 1 species
AGCAUAGCAACAGCAGCGUAGCUGAACAUCUUACGGAUGGCCCAGGGCUCCAAAGGCUCGUUUCCUAAGUGAGAGAGAGCCUGGCUGAAGCUGUAUUACCAUUCAUUCUCCAGCCUCCGAAGUCUCAAAGCAUCACUUCCACCAUACUCUAACUGUCAAGACAAACACAAAGGCCCAGAGCCUGUUCUGCUGGGACACAGAAUCACUUGCUCCAUCUCAUACAUUGAUGAUGAUUAAUUUGUAUGUGUACCUUCCAAAAAAGAUGGUUGUGUUUGAAUGGAGGCCUUCUGGACAGGAAAAUAAUCACAUCCUUCCUGAGAUAAUGAGCACACAAUUGCCUGGAUACCUGAAGGAAUGGAGACAGCGGCAGAAAACACUGCAGAGAGGUGGAAACAUCCGUUAAUAUUUUAAAAUCCCAUUACUGCUACCAACAAUAAUAAUGGAUGCAUAGAAAUAGAUCUGGAUUAGCUGAGCUUGAAACAGUCCAUCUCACACACACACAAAAGAAUUUCAGAUACAGUGAACCCACAUGUUGAAGCUUUCUAGUAUAAUAAAAAUUUCAACUGUUCUGUUGAAUCAUCUGCCUGAUUGGAGGCUACAGAAAAGAUGUCAUCUUAGGAGUGCUUGCUCUGAGUGAGGCUCAUCUUCAAAUCUGAAUGACCACAAGGAGAUUUGAUUAUACAUGUGAACACCUCAGAAGGCACAGCCCACCCAGAAGGCAGACAGGUCAGGCUGCUUUUUCUUCAUUGCUUGGAUUCAAUCCUCCGGGCGGCUCAGGCUCAAACAUAACUUAAGCAUGAUUAAACUUUAGAAGAAGCUGCCAGGAAGACUGUGAAAUCUUCAUGCCCAAGGAUCCCUAAAAUUAGGAGCAACAACCACUUGGCUCAGACGGUUUAUGGAGGCAAAGGUUUGGAUGGGAUUAGAGAUUUCUAAAUGUGAGUUCGUGUCCUCUGCCAGACCACCUUACUUCCACCAUUCCUCAGCAAAUCAAGAAAAACAGGAGAAAAGACAUGCCUUUCCAUAAGUUAAAUCUAUUCUGUUUUAAUUCUAUAUUAUAUCUGCUGUACAACUUCUUUUGUUUGUAACACCAUAUUGUUGCUAGUAACUGGAAAUUAAUUUUCACAUGCCUCAGCUUAGAAAAAUAAAAA